AGCAGGCACUCUAUAAAAAGACUGUCUUCGUGGAUAUUUAUGGUUUUGUCUUCCAUAACAACAGCCUUUCUCUUUGGGGAAAUGCUGCUUCAAGCUAUUGGGACUGUUAAUCAUUGUUCUCCCGUGUCCUCCAAGCAGGAAGGACAUAUAAGCCAAGAUGAACUUGUGGUAGAAAUCCAUCUUUUUUUCAGAGAUGGGAUCCAGAAAUUCAUGUGAAGUAGGCCAGACUACAUGGAAUUCACGGACAAGAUAUUUCACAGUGGAGCAAAUGGAACAGCACUGUUUCCUUUCUGACUGGUAAGCUGUAUUGCAUUUAACCCUGGAGAGAGCGGGGCAAGGAGGUGCACAUCUGUAAUCCUAGGGAUCCAGGAAGCUGAGGCAGGAGGAUUGCAAGUUUGAGAUCACUGAGACCCAUCUCAAAAUAAAAAGGCCCAAGAUGUAGUUCAGUGGUAAAGUAACCCUGGGUCAGAUCCCUAAUACCCCAAAAUUAAGGAAAAAGAAUUUGAGCCUGGUGCUUCUGCCAGCUGUGUCCCUUGCUAUAUGACCUUAUUGGAAUAUAGCUCGCUCUAGAUACUCAGAAAAAAAGCAACAAAGAAAGGGGGAGAGAAACUCGGCAGCUUUUUAGGUUGUAUUCAUCCUGAUUUUCUGUACUAAAAUGAGCAGGCCUCCCAGGCUCCAUAGGCAGUUCCAGCUUACACCCUGUUGUCUCAGCUCAAUCAUUAACAGCUCUCACUUUCAUUCUCAGAAGUGUCCCAUAAAUUAUUUAAUCAUUAUCUCUACACAAUGUGGUUAAAGCAAUCAAGUCUUUUCUCCCUUACAUUAGUUUAAACUGGUUUUCUGUCACUUGCAACAACAAAAAAGUCUUACUGAGUUACCUUUAUUUCCCAAAUUAAUCAGGGAAUUUUUCCAAACUGAUUUCUGGAUUUGAUUACUUACGCUUUUUCUUGAACUCCUUGGCAGAUUCCUGAUUCUACAUCUGACGCUUGGUCUCCACUUACUUUGUAGAAUUGGCUUCUUGGACCCUCGGAAACCUAUCCAACCAUCGUGGCCUGGUCAUGAGUUCCUUUGCUUCAUACCUCACCCCAAAGUCAGCAUAGUGCACAAAUUUCAUCUGGAAGCUCUGGGAAGAUGGUUAGAGAGGAUAAGAGCCAAGGUUAGCCUAAGAGACCACCUGGAUGAGUUAGCUUCAAUUGUGUUUUCCAUAAUUGCAUUAUCCAGCUCAAAAUUCAUUGUCCUGGAAGAGGAUCAAAUGGCAUAAGUUGAGUUUGGUGCCCACUGGUUCAAUAGGAGACAGUGGGUAUCAUGAUAGAUAUUCCGUUAUAACUACACAAAAUUAGGGAGAGGCAAUCCACCCUCUAAGAGAACAAAUAUAUAUUUAACAAUGUGCAUUUACUUAUUUAACCAGCUAUUUGUGUGUCUAUACCAACAAGAGCUGAAUGAACUCUUAUGUAACAAAUGUGAUUGGUGCUCAGAAGAACUGGUGAUGACAUAGUUGAUCUUUCUGGAAUAAUGAAGAACCACAAAUAUGACCACCCUGAGUGAUGAUGAAGCUAAUAUUUAUAUAUAUUCUGCAUUUCUGCAUUCUGCAAUGAUUGAGUAAAAGUUUGGGGUUGGUGUUUGUAGAAUUUUUUUUUUUGAGGUUUCCCGGUGUAUUCAUUCCUCUGCCUUAAAUCCACCCUGCUGAGUCCUGUCCUUCAUGGCUUCCCCCUUAGUCAAUAUCACAUUAGAACCAGCUUCCAAUAUCUUCC
rnacentral:lncRNA from 1 species